rnacentral:rRNA from 1 species
UACGGAGGGUGCAAGCGUUAUCCGGAAUUAUUGGGCGUAAAGAGUGCUCAGGCGGUUUUGUAAGUCAGAAGUGAAAGCCUUCGGCUCAACCGAAGAACUGCAUCAGAAACUGUCAAUCUUGAGUGCAGAAGAGGAGGGUGGAACUCCAUGUGUAGCGGUGGAAUGCGUAGAUAUAUGGAAGAACACCAGUGGCGAAGGCGGCUCUCUGGUCUGUAACUGACGCUGAGGCUCGAAAGCAUGGGUAGCGAACAGGAUUAGAUACCC